AUUGAACGCUGGCGGCAUGCUUUACACAUGCAAGUCGAACGGCAGCGCGGGCUUCGGCCUGGCUGCGAGUGGCGAACGGGUGAGUAAUGCAUCGGAACGUGCCCAGUAGUGGGGGAUAGCCCGGCGAAAGCCGGAUUAAUACCGCAUACGACCUGAGGGUGAAAGCGGGGGACCGAAAGACCUCGCGCCAUUGGAGCGGCGGAUGUCGGAUUAGCUAGUUGGUGGGGUAAAGGCUUACCAAGGCGACGAUCCGUAGCUGGUCUGAGAGGACGACCAGCCACACUGGGACUGAGACACGGCCCAGACUCCUACGGGAGGCAGCAGUGGGGAAUUUUGGACAAUGGGGGCAACCCUGAUCCAGCCAUGCCGCGUGCGGGAAGAAGGCCUUCGGGUUGUAAACCGCUUUUGUUCGGGAAGAAAUCCUCUGGGCUAAUACCCCGGGGGGAUGACGGUACCGGAAGAAUAAGCACCGGCUAACUACGUG
rnacentral:rRNA from 1 species